rnacentral:piRNA from 1 species
UCCAGACCAGACUUAAAGGCUAACUUGUC